UUCUGUCCAGGUGUAGUCCAGGGUGUAUAACCAGGAGCCGAACGCCGGGAGAACUUCACCGAACAUAGAAACAUCAACGCACCCCCUGGAGGAACAAGGAAAGGACUUGCCUGAACCUGGAGUGAACACGGUCUUUCACAUGUUUCAUAUGAACCUAUUCUUCAUAAUCAACACCUCUCACCUGUGUAUGAAUCAGACUGGAAGAAGCGUCAUUGAGACGAGAAACAGUUCUGUCGUCUGUUUUUCCUCCCCUGCACCCACUCCUGUCCUCCUUGCUGUAUCCUUGUCUAGCCGCAAGAGCC